rnacentral:rRNA from 1 species
UACAGAGGUCCCGAGCGUUGUUCGGAUUCAUUGGGCGUAAAGGGUGCGUAGGCGGCUUCCUAAGUUUGAUGUGAAAUCCUGGGGCUCAACCCUGGAACUGCAUUGAAUACUGGGAGGCUAGAGUACUGGAGAGGAAACUGGAAUUUACGGUGUAGCAGUGAAAUGCGUAGAGAUCGUAAGGAAGACCAGUGGCGAAGGCGAGUUUCUGGACAGUUACUGACGC